UACGGAGGGAGCGAGCGUUAAUCGGAUUUACUGGGCGUAAAGGGUGCGUAGGCGGCUUUUUAAGUCGGAUGUGAAAUCCCCGAGCUUAACCUGGGAAGUGCGUUCGAUACUGGGAAGCUAGAGUAUGGGAGAGGAUGGUAGAAUUCCAGGUGUAGCGGUGAAAUGCGUAGAGAUCUGGAGGAACACCGAUGGCGAAGGCGGCCAUCUGGCCUAAUACUGACGCUGAGGUACGAAAGCAUGGGGAGCAAACAGG
rnacentral:misc_RNA from 1 species